UACAGAGGGUGCAAGCGUUAAUCGGAAUUACUGGGCGUAAAGCGUGCGUAGUCGGUUAUUAAGUCGGGCGUGAAAGCCCCGGGCUCAACCUGGGAAUUGCGUUCGAUACUGGAUAGCUAGAGUUCGGCAGAGGGAAGCGGAAUUUCGGGUGUAGCGGUGAAAUGCGUAGAUAUCCGAAGGAACAUCAGUGGCGAAAGCGGCUUCCUGGACCAGAACUGACGAUCAGGCACGAAAGCGUGGGGAGCAAACAGG
rnacentral:rRNA from 1 species